CUGCUUCAGAGAUACGUGGCCUGAAACUCGCUGCUGCUGCUGUUGUUGCUGCUGCUGCCCUCCCGGCAACCUGGAACUAAAUCAUGACAUAGCCUACAUAAUUACAUGGACCACAAUCACCAGUAAUAAUCGUGAUGGCUCUGCAAAAAAUCUAAAUCUUAGAGGAGUUAAUGGAAGUUAGAGCAGAACGUUAAUCGUUAAUGACGCAUGCAUAACGCAGAUAAGGACAGUGGAAGUUUUUUUAAGUUGUAUGUACCAGAUAUUUUUGAAUGCGUCGGAAAUUUCCUGAAAAUUAUGUCUCAGAAUUAUGGCAAGAUCAUGAAACAUCUGUCUCUUGCAAUAAGAUACCGUAAAUUAAAACAAAAUAGUCGCGGAAAGAACAACUUCUUACUAUAUUAAUAACAAAUUGUCUUAAGAAAAAGACAAACUCUCUUUAGUAAAAUAACAGAAAAAAUUAAUAAAUUAUUAACAUAAAAUUCUAUAAUUAAGAUUCGUGUUAGAUAACCAAUCCUUUUUACUACACUGUCUCAUUGUGGCAAUUCCGUUUCAAUUUACGGUAUCCAAUAAUUUAUUUUAAACGCCACUGAGAAACAAAACGCUAGAAUUAACUUAUGAAACAAAAAUAGAAUGGCGUGUGUACAGGGAGAAAGUAUGCGUGCAUCGAGUCGUCGCUACGCUAACACAAACUAACAUAUAAGUGAAAAGAAAGAGGUAAAAA